AUUGAACGCUGGCGGCAUGCUUUACACAUGCAAGUCGAACGGUAACAGGCCUUCGGGUGCUGACGAGUGGCGAACGGGUGAGUAAUGCAUCGGAACGUGCCCAGAGGUGGGGGAUAACGCAGCGAAAGCUGUGCUAAUACCGCAUGUGAUCUGAGGAUGAAAGCGGGGGACCAAGCAGCAAUGUUUGGCCUCGCGCCUCUGGAGCGGCCGAUGUCAGAUUAGGUAGUUGGUGGGGUAAAGGCCUACCAAGCCGACGAUCUGUAGCUGGUCUGAGAGGACGACCAGCCACACUGGGACUGAGACACGGCCCAGACUCCUACGGGAGGCAGCAGUGGGGAAUUUUGGACAAUGGGCGCAAGCCUGAUCCAGCAAUGCCGCGUGCGGGAAGAAGGCCUUCGGGUUGUAAACCGCCUUUGUACGGAACGAAAAGGCUCUGGCUAAUACCUGGGGCUGAUGACGGUACCAUAAGAAUAAGCACCGGCUAACUACGUG
rnacentral:rRNA from 1 species